UACGUAGGGGGCUAGCGUUGUCCGGAAUCAUUGGGCGUAAAGCGCGUGUAGGCGGUCCGGUAAGUCCGCUGUGAAAGUCGGGGGCUCAACCCUCGGAUGCCGGUGGAUACUGUCGGGCUUGAGUACGGAAGAGGCGAGUGGAAUUCCUGGUGUAGCGGUGAAAUGCUCAGAUAUCAGGAGGAACACCAAUUGCGAAGGCAGCUCGCUGGGACGUUACUGACGCUGAGACGCGAAAGCGUGGGGAGCAAACAGG
rnacentral:rRNA from 1 species